GAUGCGAGAAUCUGUUAAGAGUAUAUAAAGUAAUUCACCUUGUUAGUUGCAUCUUAUACCUUAAUUAUGCCUCUCCACUCCCUGCAUCAGAUAAUUACCAUAAUUCACAAGGAUCUCAAUUAAUCAUUAUUCAGGGUGUAUGCAUGUCUGUGUUUGUGUGCAUGCAUUUAUUUGUUAUGAUUUAUGAACACCGGCAUCCAAUGUGCCACCUCCUUCCCCAUGUUUUUCACUUCUUUUUUCUUCAUCUUUACAUAUGUUGUCACAGGAUAUUCGAGCUCGAGAUUGUUCCUUGAUUUUAAUAAUCUUGCUGUGGCAAUGGUUGUUCUUAAGCUAGUGAUUGAGCAUGUCUCAGGGCAGUCAUAAAUUUUAAUUGCCAAACCAGCACACGCAAGUCAAAGGGUUCUGAGUUUGGUGCAUUUCACAACAUGCUCAAUAGUUGAAACUAUAUACCUAAAUUCUUGUAUUUUCAUUUAAAAACAUAAGCUAGGAUUGCUGAUUAUUUUAUCUGUAUCAGCAAAUGUAAAUUGAUUUUUGCCUGGUUAAACGUGUUCUCCUAGCGAGUUCAUGUCAAAAGAACCAAGGAGGAAAAUUAGAGAUUCCAUCUACAGAUUUAGAGAAUGGUUGUCGACACUUGUUUUUGAUAAAUUAUAUAUAUAUAUAUAUUGGCUGAGGAAUACCAACCAGAGUUAACUAAAUAACCACAAAGAAGUCCUUCAAUCGGAAAUAGGUAGGCACGUAUUUCUACUUCUGCUUUGAUUUGGAUGCCUGAUGAUCGGGUAAAUUUUUAUUUUGCUGCAUUUUCUUCUUUCUGUUUUUGAGUCGUGUUUACAGAUAAGGUCGAUUCACAAUUUGACACGGCAUCGGGAUAAUCUCUAGUUGUCGAUGCUGUAUCUUUCGUUAGGUUAGUUUUUUUUUUCCAAGCAUUAUGAAUUUGGCAUUUUGAAUGGUUGAGCGAAAGUAAUAUAGCCAGAAACAGUUCACCUCCUAGUAUUGCGUCAGAUUCUGCAUCAGCUCGUUUCUUUAUUUCACCAAGUCAUCGGCAGACCGGGUUUUCGAAAAUAUUGUGCUAAUUAUUUAACGGAAAGUCUCUGAUCAGAGACUAACUCAACGAUUCUAGAUAAAGUAGAC
rnacentral:lncRNA from 1 species